GACAGAGGGUGCAAACGUUGUUCGGAAUUACUGGGCGUAAAGCGCAUGUAGGCGGCCCGGCAGGUCGGAUGUGAAAUCCCUCGGCUCAACCAAGGAAGUGCAUUCGAAACCGCCAGGCUCGAGUCCCGGAGAGGAUGGUGGAAUUCUCGGUGUAGAGGUGAAAUUCGUAGAUAUCGAGAGGAACACCGGCGGCGAAGGCGGCCAUCUGGACGAGGACUGACGCUGAGAUGCGAAAGCGUGGGGAGCAAACAGG
rnacentral:rRNA from 1 species